rnacentral:rRNA from 1 species
AUGACUCUCGGCAACGGAUAUCUAGGCUCUCGCAUCGAUGAAGGACGUAGUGAAAUGCGACACGUGGUGUGAAUUGCAGAAUCCCGUGAACCAUCGAAUCUUUGAACGCAAGUUGCGCUCGAGGCCAUCGGGCCGAGGGCACGCCUGCUUGGGCGUCACGC